rnacentral:lncRNA from 1 species
UUAUUGUGAACGAAAGAGGAAUCGAGGUCGAUCCUGCUAAAAAAAAAAAAAAAAAGAAAAGAAAAAAGAGAGCAAACGGUCAGGUGGAUAUUGCCAAGGGGCAUUGAAAAAAGCAAAAGAAAAAGCAAUGCAAGGAAUACCUGAACCGAAAACAAAAAAGAGAGCAAACGGUCAGGUGGAUAUUGCCAAGGGGAAUUGAAAAAAGAAUAAGUUGCAGGAACCUCUGAUUCUG